rnacentral:lncRNA from 1 species
AAAAGCAUCUCCUUUUUAUUCAUCUAUUGUUUAUGAUGAAUAUGUUAUUUUGUUUAAGUUCCCAAAAAAUCCUAGGAGGAAAGGGACAUUAUUUCAGGUUACAGUUAAGGAAACUCUAGCAAAUUGUCAAUAAAUACAGAUCUAGUAAAAGCAAAACCUGACAUCACACACGAGUAUUUAGUUGAAGGACUAGUGAUAAGGAAAGCGUUAACCACAGACUCUUUUCCCUAAGCUUUUCUAGGCUUCUUGUUGGUACACCAGCUGGCCCCCAGGGGUCAUGAGCGACUAGCUCAGAGGAGGUGGGUGAGAGGAGCUGGCUGAGAAGCCGCGAGAAACGCAGCUGUGGACAUAGGCUGGCCUGGGCAAGGAGAGCUUCUGAGAUGGUGCUGCAGUCAGAAGACUCUCUCGGUGCUGCAAAUUCUGAACAACUGCAAACUCUGGCAGCCUUGCUUGAUCUCAUCGACUUUGGAACUAAGAAAGGCCAAGAGCCUUUGGAGAUGACUUUUGAACUGGCAGAGGGCAUUCAAUGCCUGGAUCCCUUGAAUGGUCACCUUAGAGACAUCCCUGCCUGUGAACAGACACUUGAUUAACCUUAGGCAGUCCUGUGCAUCACAGCCUUCUGCAAUACCUGCCAGAUCAUCUACAGAAGCUGUAAGUAAUCCAUCUCGUUCUUAAACCUUUUCUUGCCUGAAAUCAGUAGGGUUCUUUUUUCAUGGCAGGGGGUGGGGGUGUAUUUUUUUUUGUUUAUCCUCUUUGAGGUAUUCCAGUGUAAAGGAGCUUGUCUUGGGGGUAACAGAGACUUGAGUUUCAUUGACUACUUCUGUGACCCUGAGCAACUAGCUCAAUUUUCCUGAACCUUGGAUUCUAAUUUUAAGAAUGUCUUGCAAGUAGCUAUGGAGGUGAAGCAUUCUGCCUAGUUUCUAUAGCCUAUUAAGUACUUGAUUUCAGGUACUACACUCAUUAGCCCCCUUACCACACCCUGCCUUUUCUCAUGAAUUCUCAGGUUUCAUUUUAUUCCUCUGAACUUUUAUCUUAUUUCCCUUUGUUUUCAUUUCCAAAUAGAUUCUCUAUUGCCCCAAUUUAACCAGGACUAUUGCUAUGCUUAAAUAAAAUAUUUAAUUUAGGCAAUUAGAGUCUGAAGAUAAAAAGUCUGAAGAUGAGAUAUAAACUAAAAAGGAUAUUUAAAUUAAGCAAACUGCUAUUUAUUUUUCUAACUCUAACCCACCAUCUGUCAAUAUUUUGGGGUUAAGCAAUUGUUUCUAAUAGGUCUCGGUAAAAUGAAUUUGAGGAGUGUUGACUCAUUUGUUCAGAGUCAAAAUAAAACAUGUAGUCUACUAAGAG